UACGUAGGGUGCAAGCGUUGUCCGGAAUUAUUGGGCGUAAAGAGCUCGUAGGCGGUCUGUCGCGUCUGCUGUGAAAACUCAGGGCUUAACCCUGAGCUUGCAGUGGGUACGGGCAGACUAGAGUGCGGUAGGGGAGACUGGAAUUCCUGGUGUAGCGGUGAAAUGCGCAGAUAUCAGGAGGAGCACCGGUGGCGAAGGCGGAUCUCUGGGCCUUACCUGACGCUGGAGGCGCGAAAGCAUGGGGAGCGAACAGG
rnacentral:rRNA from 1 species